GCAAGCGUUAUCCGGAUUCACUGGGUUUAAAGGGUGCGUAGGAGGGCAGGUAAGUCAGUGGUGAAAUCUCCAAGCUUAACUUGGAAACUGCCGUUGAUACUAUCUGUCUUGAAUACCGUGGAGGUGAGCGGAAUAUGUCAUGUAGCGGUGAAAUGCUUAGAUAUGACAUAGAACACCAAUUGCGAAGGCAGCUCGCUACACGAAUAUUGACUCUGAGGCACGAAAGCGUGGGGAUCAAACAGG
rnacentral:rRNA from 1 species